UGCCUGGUCCACGGUCGCAAGGCCGCGCGUAUCGGAGUACGUCUGCCAUCCUUCUAGUUAACUGGCUAUACUUAACUGUGUGGUCAGCAACCUAGAUCUUUUACUUUGAAAAAAUUAGAGUGUUUAAAGCAGGCUCGCGCUGCGAAUACAUUAGCAUGGAAUAAUAAUUUAGGACUUUGCUUCUAUUUUAUUGGUUUCUAGGGGUAAAGUAAUGAUUGAUAGGGAUAGUUGGGGGUGCUAGUAUUCAUCGGCCAGAGGUGAAAUUCUUGGAUUCGAUGAAGUCUAGCUUAUGCGAAAGCAUUCACCAAGGAUGUCUUCUUUAAUCAAGAACGAAAGUUGGGGGAUCGAAGACGAUCAGAUACCGUCGUAGUCUCAACCAUAAACUAUACCGACUAGGGAUUAGUGGAAGUUGCUAUAUCGACUCCAUUAGCACCUUAUGAGAAAUCAGAAGUCUUUGGGUUCUGGGGGGAGUAUGGUCGCAAGGCUGAAACUUAAAGGAAUUGACAGAAGGGCACCACCAGGAGUGGAGCCUGCGGCUUAAUUUGACCCAACACGGGGAAACUUACCAGGUCCGGACAUAGUGAGGAUUGACAGAUUGAAGUUCUUUCUUGAUUCUAUGGGUGGUGGUUCAUGGCCGUUCUUAGUUGGUGGAGUGAUUUGUCUGGUUAAUUCCGUUAACGAACGAGACCUCGACCUGCUAAAUAGUAUGACGUAGGCUCUGUCUAUGGACAUGACUUCUUAGAGGGACUGUCGGUUUUUAGCCGAAGGAAGUUCGAGGCAAUAACAGGUCUGUGAUGCCCUUAGAUGUUCUGGGCCGCACGCGCGCUACACUGAUACGUGCAUCGAGCUUACAACCUUGGCUGGGAGGCCUGGGUAAUCUUUGAAAAGCGUAUCGUGCUGGGGAUAGAUUAUUGUAAUUAUUAAUCUUCAACGAGGAAUUCCUAGUAAGCGCGAGUCAUCAACUCGCACUGAUUACGUCCCUGCCCUUUGUACACACCGCCCGUCGCUGCUACCGAUUGAAUGCAUUAGUGAGCUUGAGGGAUCGUUUAGCUUGAGGGUCAAACUUCGAGUUAAGUGAGAACUCACGCAAACUUGCGCAUUUAGAGGAAGCAAAAGUCGUAACAAGGUUUCCGUAGGUGAACCUGCGGAAG
rnacentral:rRNA from 1 species